CGCGGCCUAUCAGCUUGUUGGUGGGGUGACGGCCUACCAAGGCGACGACGGGUAGCCGGCCUGAGAGGGUGUCCGGCCACACUGGGACUGAGAUACGGCCCAGACUCCUACGGGAGGCAGCAGUGGGGAAUAUUGCACAAUGGGCGCAAGCCUGAUGCAGCGACGCCGCGUGGGGGAUGACGGCCUUCGGGUUGUAAACCUCUUUCACCAUCGACGAAGGUCCGGGGUUUCUCGGAUUGACGGUAGGUGGAGAAGAAGCACCGGCCAACUACGUGCCAGCAGCCGCGGUAAUACGUAGGGUGCGAGCGUUGUCCGGAAUUGCUGGGCGUAAAGAGCUCGUAGGUGGUUUGUCGUGUUGUUCGUGAAAUCUCACGGCUUAACUGUGAGCGUGCGGGCGAUACGGGCAGACUGGAGUACUGCAGGGGAGACUGGAAUUCCUGGUGUAGCGGUGGAAUGCGCAGAUAUCAGGAGGAACACCGGUGGCGAAGGCGGGUCUCUGGGCAGUAACUGACGCUGAGGAGCGAAAGCGUGGGGAGCGAACAGGAUUAGAUACCCUGGUAGUCCACGCCGUAAACGGUGGGUACUAGGUGUGGGUUUCCUUCCUUGGGAUCCGUGCCGUAGCUAACGCAUUAAGUACCCCGCC
rnacentral:rRNA from 1 species